UACGUAGGGGGCAAGCGUUGUCCGGAAUCAUUGGGCGUAAAGAGCGUGUAGGCGGCUCGGUAAGUCCGCUGUAAAAGUCCAGGGCUCAACCCUGGAAAGCCGGUGGAAACUGUCGAGCUAGAGUCCGGAAGAGGCGAGUGGAAUUCCUGGUGUAGCGGUGAAAUGCGCAGAUAUCAGGAGGAACACCAAUGGCGAAGGCAGCUCGCUGGGACGGUACUGACGCUGAGACGCGAAAGCGUGGGGAGCGAACAGG
rnacentral:rRNA from 1 species